rnacentral:tRNA from 1 species
GGCCUUAGCUCAGCUGGUCAGAGCAGGGGACUCAUAAUCCCUUGGUCGCGGGUUCAAGCCCCGCAGGCC